GAUUAGCUUCUAACAAGAUCACUAGAGUUGGUUAGAGCGUGGUGCUAAUAACGCCAAGGUCGCGAGUUCGACCCUCGUACU
rnacentral:tRNA from 1 species